rnacentral:rRNA from 1 species
UACGUAGAGGGCAAGCGUUGUCCGGAAUCAUUGGGCGUAAAGAGCGUGUGAGGCGGCUCGAUAAGUCUGCUGUGAAAGUCCAGGGCUCAACCCUGGGACGCCUUCGAUACUGGGAGCCUGGAGAUCGGGAGAGGUGAGUGGAAUUCCGAGUGUAGAGGUGAAAUUCGUAGAUAUUCGGAGGAACACCAGAAGCGAAGGCGGCUCACUGGCCCGAGACUGACGCUGAGGCGCGAAAGCGUGGGGAGCGAACAGG